CAUGUACUCCCUCCGUUCGAAAAAACUUGUCCCAAGCUUGUUUCUCAAAUAAAUGUAUCUAGCACUAACUUGAUGCUACAUACAUCCAUUUGAAGGACAAACUUUUUCGGACGGAGGGAGUACAUA
rnacentral:pre_miRNA from 1 species